AUUGAACGCUGGCGGCAUGCUUUACACAUGCAAGUCGAACGGCAGCACGGGCUUCGGCCUGGUGGCGAGUGGCGAACGGGUGAGUAAUAUAUCGGAACGUACCCAGAAGUGGGGGAUAACGUAGCGAAAGUUACGCUAAUACCGCAUACGAUCUAUGGAUGAAAGCAGGGGACCGCAAGGCCUUGUGCUCCUGGAGCGGCCGAUAUCUGAUUAGCUAGUUGGUGAGGUAAAGGCUCACCAAGGCGACGAUCAGUAGCUGGUCUGAGAGGACGACCAGCCACAGGGGAAGGGAGACGCGGCCCAGACCCCUAGGGGGGGAAGAGGGGGGGAAUUUUGGACAAGGGGCGCAAGCCUGACCCAGCAAGGCCGGGGGAGGGAAGAGGGCCUUGGGUUUGAAAAGCUUUUUUGUAGGGAAAGAAACGGUAGAGGCAAAUAUCUUUUGCAAAGGAGGGUACCGAAAAAAUAAGCACCGGCAAAGUACGGC
rnacentral:rRNA from 1 species